GACGGAGGAUGCAAGCGUUAUCCGGAAUUAUUGGGCGUAAAGCGUCCGCAGGUGGACAUACAAGUCUGCUGUCAAAGUGCAGAGCUUAACUCUGUAAAGGCGGUGGAAACUGUAGGUCUUGAGUAUGGUAGGGGUAGAGGGAAUUCCCGGUGUAGCGGUGAAAUGCGUAGAUAUCGGGAAGAACACCGAUGGCGAAGGCAGGUCUCUGGGCAUUAACUGACGCUGAGGAGCGAAAGCAUGGGGAGCGAACAGG
rnacentral:rRNA from 1 species